GCAUAAUGCAGUAGCCACUGGAUUUGCAGCAGAAACACUCUGCUACAGAACAAGUGUCUUGGUUCACAGCAAAGAGGACAAAGAAAACAGCAAGUUUUAGGGGGUUGAAUCCUGGAUUCCCCUGGCAAACACCAUUCUACUUUCCGUCUCUAUGAAUUUGACUACUCGAAGUACCUCAUGUGAAAUGUUGGUGCCAAAUGAACUUUUCUGGUUCUUCUGAAUAGACCCACAAAAGAAGAGAUACUGAGAUCAUUUGCUCCAGAAGAAGCUGGUUGCCAUGUCUUGAGGACAGUAAACCCUCUGGGGAGGUUCCUGUGGUAAGGAACAAGGGCUCCUGGCAAUAGCCUCUGAGUGAGCCACCUUGAAAAUGGAUUGUCCAGCCCCAGUCAAGCUUUCAGAUGACUGUAGCUCCUGCCAAUGUCUUCACCACAACCUCAUGAGAUCCCAAGCUACAACCACUCAGAACUUCAUCUUUUGGGAAGCACCAGGGAGAGCUGCCUGUGCCUGGCAGAAGCUGCCCAUGCCCCACUGAUACCCCACAGUACUUCCUGUUCUGCUUAGUACUCCUGCUUCUUUCUACAAACAACUGUGAUUCUCUACCUGGGAGCUUCCUCUGGCCACAGGAGCCUGCUCACCUGAUUGGGACACCCUAGCAGUACUGGCUCAUAGAUGGAAGGGACUUGCCUUGUCGCUGAUGAGACUUUCGACUUGGACUUUUGAGUCAAUGCUGGAAUGAGUUAAGACUUUGGGGAACUGUUGGAAGGGUGUGAUUGUGUUUUGAAUUGUGAGGACAUGAGAUUUUGAAGAGGCUAAUGGCAGCGUCCCCACCUAAAUCUCUUCUUGAAUUGUAGUUCCCAUAAUCCCCACGUGUCGUGGGGUGGAGCCGGUGGAGAUAAUUGAAUCAUGGGAACACUUUCCCCCAUGCUGUUAUUGUGAUUGUGAAUUCUCACGAGAUCUGAUGGUUGUAUAAACGCCUUCCCUCUUCGCUGGGCACUCAUUUUUCUCCUUCCUGCCACCAUGUGAAGAAGGAUAUGCUUGCUUCUUGUGCCAUGAUUGUAAGUUUCCUGAGGCCUCCCCAGCCAUGCUGAACUGUGAGUCAAUUGAACCUCUUUCCUUUAUAAAUUACCUAGUCUUGGAUAUGUUUUUAUUAGCAGUGUGAGACAGGACUAAUACACAAAGGAUUUGAAAUCACAAAGGAGCUGUUUUCUGCUCCACCAUGGAAGUCUCACAUGCAUCACAUCUAUUCAUAUCCAUUUGCCACAACUAGACAAAAAGUCCUUUUUAAAAUCUGCCUAGAGAUCAGGAAGUAUUAUCUCUGGAUGCCUAGGCAGGAGAGGUGAAUCAGAUAUUGGUGGGCACUAGUGUGUUCUAUGAUACAUAGCUUAAUAAAAAUAAGUUUCAGAUAAAUCUAAAUAUACAUUAGAAUACUGUAACCACAGUAGAAAAAAAUAUUGGCUCCUUUUUGUGAUAAACUAAUGAUGGUAAAUGCACCCUAUUUAAGCAAGAAAAGAAACUGAUCUGCCAUAAAGAAAACAAUGACAUAUUUAACUACAAAAUAUGUUACAAAAUAUUAAUAUCCCUAAUGGACAAAUGAGUUCCAAUAAAUGGAUAACAAAAAACCAAUAAGUCUGUAGAAAAAUGGAGAAAAUAUAUUUGCAGAAUAUUUAUACAGGUGGUAAUGAAAUUGACAAUGAUGUUUAUCAUCAGCAGUAAACAGUAAAAAGUUUCACCCACCAGGACUAUAGAAAUUUUUCAAAUGGAUAAUUUUCAGAAUCAGCAAAGUUAUAGAAAAGUAGGUACCAGUUGCACAUACCAUUGGAGGAAAUGUAAAAUAUAGUUACCUUGUGGAAAGUAAUCUGAUGUAAUAUAUUAAAAUUUUAUCCAUGUAUGUCCUAUAAUUCAGCAAUUCCAUGUUGGGGAAUCCAUACAAAGAAAUACUUAUACACAUGCAGAAGGAGCUAAGUUUAAGAAAGCACACAUUUCAGCGGGUUGUGGUGUCUCACCCCUGUAAUCCCAGCACAUUGGGAGGCCGAGGUUGGUGGAUCACCUGAGGUCAGGAGUUUGAGACCAGCCUGGCCAACAUGGUGAAACCCUGUCUCUACUAAAAAUACAAAAAAUUAGCUGGUGUGGCAGUGGGUGCCUGCAGCUACUCAGGAGGCUGAGGCAGGAGAAUCGCUUGA
rnacentral:lncRNA from 1 species